UCGAAAGAGUAUUUGAACACACUUCAAACAUCACAUUGUUUCUGCUUCACAGUUCGCAGUUCACACACAUCCCAAGCGAUUCCACUUAUAUUAUUUUUGCUCAUUUCAUAAUCUUCCCAAGGCUUCUUCCGCAGCUCAAUCCGACCGCCUGAAAAUAUCCUCCUCCGCCGCUGAAUCCGUACGCAUCCAUCCAUGGCUCUUCGUUGUGUGCCUGAGAGUGUGGGUAGAAUUGGUUAUAAGAAUCAUCUGAAGAAGACAAAGCUAGGGCUUUUGAGUGGCCUUUCAACCAAAAACCACCACCAGAAUCUCAGCCCUUUCUGUCCUCAUUCCUCCUCUUCCGGGUGGUAUGUGCAGCCGCCUACGGAAUUUGGAGACUGGGCUUUUCGUCGACAAAAAGAAUUCAAAUCUUGAGUUUGUGAGAGUGAUCAAGGCAAAUAGACAGUGCGUGUCUGGUCAAAUGUGGUAUAUCACCUUUGAGGCAACUGAUGCUGAUGUGAAGAACACUUAUCAUGCUAAGGUUUAUUGUUCUUUUCAAAAGGAAUGGGCAUUAGAGUUGUGUAGGCUCGCUCCUUAGAGACCUUCAAAUGUGGUUGUUUAAGCAAGGUAACUACUUCGAGACCUUAGUGUUUGAAUUCGAUUUAAAUCCUUCAGCAUUUAUUUGAAUUAUAUUUUGAGAUGUCAUUUAUUUACAUAUAUUAUAUUCCCCUGACUUAGUAUGUUUUGUCUUGCGCUUUGGGACUGUGAGUCGUGUUCUACAUUAACAAAAUCAUAAGAUUAUGACAUAGUAGUAUUAGGUCCUUUCUUUUCUAUUUGUUUUUGCAUUAAUAUAUACUUUGAUUGUGAAUUAUCCCAUGAUUUAUCUCACGGAAUUAAAUUUUUUGAUGGAUAGGGUGUUCCUAUUUCUACAUGGUUUUCCAACUUAAUUUCCGAUUAGAGGUCCAUCUCCUCACAUAGGGUUUUAAUCUUUAAUCUUAACCUUGCUUCAUUAAUUUGAUCAUAAUUUUGAAAAUGGGUUAUCGAGUGUAUGCCAUCAAAUAACACAUACCAUGGAAUCUGAUUCUAUCUCAUCAGUUUAUCCAUAGCUAAGGGAAACGAUAUUCUUAAUGCUAACCCUUGACAUAAGUCAACAGAAAUUGAAAAUUCACUUGAUUUCUCACAGUUGUUUUAAUUAUAGUCAUGCUACCAUCAUACGUGUACUUUAUCACGUUAAUAUAUCUCUUUGUGACUCAUUUCUUUUCUAAAACUCUCCAUGUUAAAUUUAUAGGUAUCCUAUCAUAGGCUUUCUCUAAGUCAGUAAAAAGUAUUUGAUGAUUUUUCUUCCUCUCUGUAUUUUUUAUAAGUUUUCUCAAUCAUUAAAUAGCUUCCGAUAACAUUACUAUUUCCUAAUUCCUGUCAUGGUAGUACUAUUUCUGAGGAAUUUUCUUCUGUUUAUGUUAAAUGUAGUUAAUUUUGAUUUAUAAAUCAGCUAAUUAGGGAGUACUGUAAAAAUAAUUGUGAAACCAUAUGGCAAAUUGUAGGUAUGUGCAUCUAUUCUCUCUCUCUCUCUCUAGCUAUAUAUAUAUAACAUUUAAUUAAGCAGCAUAGUUAUAUAAGGGAUCGUCAACAUGCUAGGAAGAACAAUUCACAGAGGUCUCUUUAGUGGCAUCCUCACAAAUUGGAACUACACAGAUUGUAUUUGUGACCACGCAUUGCUAAUAAAUAAAUUAAUAUAUAUAUAUAUAUUGUUAAUUAAUGAAAUUAAGUAUUCUAGUGUUGUGUAUCAUAAUUCAACUCUGUUAAUUUUGGAAAGAAUUAGAAGAGCUUAGAAAGAAGGCGAAUGAAACAAAACCUGAAGGAGAAGGAAAAAGCUUCCAACUCUGUUAGAGUGAGAAAGAGCCAGCUGGAGUAUGAAUUGAGUAAGAUGGAGGAGGCACCCAGUGAGAGAAACAGUGAUGUGAGAGAAACUAGUGAGAGAAAGAUAGGUUCCAUUUCAAACCCAAGCACGCACCUCCUUGCAAUGACUGUUGUCCAAUCUUUUCCACACCUUCCUCGUUUCGUUCCUUCCCAGACUCAGUAUGGCCACUGAUACUCUGGUGAGAUUUCGAUACCAAAAUUCUCAAUCCUCUGUUUCGUUUUCUCCAUUUUCUCGGCAACCAAACAAGCCCGAGGAUUUUCUUGCAUUUGAUUUGCUUCUAGAAGCUUUAUAAAGAUGGAUUUGCUUCUUUCUUGCUUGAGUUUUUGUUUAAUUCCUGAGAAACUGUAGGAUAAAGAGUGGGUAGAGUUGGUUAUAAGAAUCAUCUGAAGACAAAGCUAGGGUUUUUGACUGUCCUUUCAACCAAGGGCGGAGGGAGGGGUGGGCGAAGGUGGGCUUCAGCCCACCCCAAAAUUUUUUUUUUUUUUUUUUACUACACUACUUUCAGCCCAGCCCAAAAAAAAAAAAAAUUUUAGCCUACCCAUAAUUAGCCCAAUCCUAUAUUAGCCCACCCCAAUCAACAAUCCUGGAUCCGCCCUUGCUUUCAACCAAAAACCACCACCACAAUCUCAUCCCUUUCUGUCUUCAUUCUUCCUCUUCCGGGAACCAAGGAAGAUUCAUGCGGUACUCUGUUGAUGUUGUAAGUUCACAUCAAAGCUCCGUUCAUGUCUUAAGCAAUCCCAUGUAUUUAGUAUAAUGAGUUGACAUAUAAAGUGCACUUCUCUAGGAUUGUUAAGGAUAGCAUCAGGCCAUUACUGGCUCUUCCCUUUGCUAUUUUUGGGAAACUCUGGCUGACAUGUAUAUUUGGAAACAACAUAUACAGAUUUAGCUUGGCACCAAUUAUUAUUAUGUACGCAACUAGCAUAAUCUCUAUCUAGGAUAGCGUAUGUGCUCUUAAAACUUUAAGCCAGUUUGCUGUACCCAUUUAACCAAUCAAACUGUCAAAAAAACUCCUGCUGCACAUUAUUGGUUGCAAGGGUUUCUGUUUUGCAUUUCUUGUUAACUUUUCAUUUCCGGGUGUGUUUUUUUUCCUUAUUUCUGUUUAGGUUCUUGUUGAACUUGUUAUAGAAAUUAGUGAAAGCCCUUAGGUAUAUUGUAUUACUUAUGAUCUCCUACUUUGGAAACCGAGGAAGUAUUACGAGGCCUAUCUAUACCUUCCUAGAUCCUUGGUGUGAUGGUUUGACAGUUGCUGAAUGGUCUGGAUUGUUUGCUGCUCAAUGGAAGCUGGAAGUUGAUGCUCUUACAAGAUGAUCUGUUGCAGCAAUUCAGAGAAUUUAUUUCUGCUGUUCCUAUUUAUGCUGCUAAGGAUAAAAUUUUGUGGGAUUUUGGUUGUUUUUGAAAAGGCUUGGGAAUGUUGCCCUGUGAAUAGGUGGAUUGGCAUCAUCUGUGCUGGGGUAAGGUUAGGCCUCGAUGGUCUGUAACUGCUGUAUUUGUGAUGCUUGAUAGACUCUCCUCUACGGUUAAUCUUCACAGGAGGAGGCUGCAAGAUGCUCAAACUGUCAUAAAGAGGUUUUGAUGCAGGAUGGUAGAUGGGGUCUCGGAAUGUUGGUGGAAGAGCAGAUGCAGCCUGUUAAACAGAAUCAUAGGGGCAGGGAUGUUUUUGUUUGGGGCUUGCCGAGAUGCACCACUUUCACCCUGGUUCUUGCAAUCCACAACUGUGCUAUGGGCUUUGUGGGGUGAGAGAAAUAAGAGAUACCACCAAGGGGUGUGCUCAUCCGUUGAAGAGGCUACCUGUUACAUGGUUGUAGAUGCCGCUGGGCUAAACUUCCAAAUGUUAGUAAUUUUAUUUUUAUGUUUCCUGAUCUGGUUUUUUAAUUGCAUUGGAAAUCUGGAGUGUUAUAUAUGUGGGGGUAUGCCCCACACUGAUCCAUUGUACGUACUCAAAGUCUACGCAAUGAAAGCUUGUUCUGAUCUAAUGUCUACCGUGA